rnacentral:rRNA from 1 species
UACAUGGGGUGCAAACGUUGCUCGGAAUUAUUGGGCGUAAAGCGCGCGUAGGCGGUUACUCAAGUCGGAUGUGAAAGCCCUCGGCUUAACUGAGGAAGUGCACCCGAAACUGAGUAGCUAGAGUACCAAAGAGGGUCGCGGAAUUCCCGGUGUAGAGGUGAAAUUCGUAGAUAUCGAGAGGAACACCUGCGGCGAAGGCGGGUUGCUGGGCUGACACUGACGCUGAGGCGCGAAAGCCAGGGGAGCGAACGGG